CAGCCACACUGGACUGAGACACGGUCCAGUUCCUAGGGAGGAGCAGGGGGAAUAUUGCACAUGGGCCAAGCCUGAGCAGCCAUCCGCGUGUAUGAAGAAGCCUUCGGGUUUAAAGUCUUUCAGCGGGGAGGAAGGCGAUGCGGUUAAUACCGCGUCGAUUACGUUCCCGCAGAAGAAGCACCGGCUAACUCCGUGCCAGCAGCCGCGGUAAUACGGAGGGUGCAAGCGUUAAUCGGAAUUACUGGGCGUAAAGCGCACGCAGGCGGUCUGUUAAGUCAGAUGUGAAAUCCCCGGGCUUAACCUGGGAACUGCAUUUGAAACUGGCAGGCUUGAGUCUUGUAGAGGGGGGUAGAAUUCCAGGUGUAGCGGUGAAAUGCGUAGAGAUCUGGAGGAAUACCGGUGGCGAAGGCGGCCCCCUGGACAAAGACUGACGCUCAGGUGCGAAAGCGUGGGGAGCAAA
rnacentral:rRNA from 1 species